AACUAAGUUUGUUAUUGGUAUGAGCUUUUGUGUGCAUGCACACUUCUUCAAAUAUCUUCUUCAGGUAUCUGAUGAAGUGUGCAUGCACACAAAAGCUCAUAUCAAUAACAAACUUAGUUGA